ACACAGACCAACCGCUUUGGUGCUGGUGGUGAGACAAAAAAGGAGCUGAGGGAGACAAAAUCCAAGGACAUAACAUCUCACACAAAAGGAGAUGGAAAUAGCAGACCAGAAAAGUGUUGAUCCUUGCUAGCCAUCUACUAGACUAAAUGCAAAUGAAGGGAAGCUAAUGAAUCAAUACACUGGUGCUGGAAACUGACACAGACAAUGUGACUUAAUAAAACCCUUUAGAGGAACCAAAUGAGACAGUGUACAAAAGCGUCAGCACAGUUCUGAAACUUUUAAGUUCAGCUUUCUCUGGUAUAAACAAAAAGGAGAAGGGACAUACAAAAAUGAAGGAAAGCUUCUUGUGAGAUAAGAUUUUUAAUCAUUAUUUGCAACAUUUGAUUUUUUAAAUUUAUUUUUUCACUUUUUUUUAAAAUAUAAAAACAAGGUCUUUAUAUGUUGCCCAGACUGGCCUUGAACUCCUAACCUCAAGCAAUCCUCCCACCUUGACUUCCCAAAGUGCUGGGACAACACAUGUGAGCCACUGUGCUCAGCCCCCAAAUUGAUUUUUUUCUUUUCUUUAACAAAAACCCAUCCUUGGGGCAGCCGUCUUCAGCUGUAUCCAGUUUGCCCAACCCCUUGUCACUCUGCCUUUCCUUCUCAAAACACUUUUCUCUCUUCAGACACCUUUGUGCCUCUGAUUCUGGGGCUUCCUGAUAUUGCUGGAGAAAACUGUACACCUGGAUUGAUUUGCAGGAAAAAGUAAUUUGAGUGACGCAGCCUCAGUGAGAUCUCUGUUGUUUUCCAUCCUGUUCUCCAGGAAUCCUGUCACCUUCCCUACUGAGCCAAGCCAAGCCUUUUUCACUUGCUUCAAAUCCCAUCCCAGUUCUGGAGCUUUCACACUAAGAAACCUGGAGACUCCUCAAAUGUGCUCAAUAUCCCCUUCAUUCUACUGCCAUACAUAUGUAUUUAUAUAUAUACAUAUAUAUAUUAUGUAUACUAUAUGUAUAUAUAAAAAUAUAUACAUAUGAAUAUAAUUUAUAAAUAUAUAUAUUUAUUAUAGAAAUACAUUAUGUUUAUAUAAAUAUAAUGUAUAAAAAUACAUAUAUAUACACACACAUACGCAUAGAGAGAC
rnacentral:lncRNA from 1 species